rnacentral:ribozyme from 11 species
GCGUGAAAGAAAGAAAGAAAGACAACCCUGAUGAAAGAGCAAAGGGGUUUCUGUCUGUAGUCAGUUUUGAGGGAGAAGAGAUGAGAGGGAGAAAGCUUGUUUGAAUACUUUCUUUCUCUCUCUCUUUUUCUGUCUCUUUCUCUUUGUCUUUCUCUUUC